UACGUAGGCAGCAAGCGUUGUUCGGAAUUACUGGGCGUAAAGAGUGUGUAGGUGGUGUCGUAAGUUUGGUGUGAAAUCUCCCGGCUUAACUGGGAGGGUGCGCCGAAGACUGCGAUGCUGGAGUAUGGGAGAGGAAAGCGGAAUUCCCGGUGUAGCGGUGAAAUGCGUAGAUAUCGGGAGGAGCACCUGCGGUGUAGACGGCUUACUGGACCAUAACUGACGCUGAGGCACGAAAGCGUGGGUAGCAAACAGG
rnacentral:rRNA from 1 species